rnacentral:lncRNA from 1 species
GGGGCACCGGGAUGGGACGGGGGCCGCGGGCUGAGCUCCCAGCCCCCUGCCUCGGUUUCCCAUUGGGGCUGGAAGGGGGCCGGACCCAGCCGGGUCCCACCGCAGGGCCCUCGCUCCUGGCUCCUGGCAGCCUCGCCGCGGCUGGCAGCCCGAGGUUUUUCCCACUUAAUUCCCCCCCAGGGAAGCUUUUCCUAUAAAUCCGGCCGCGCCGGCGGUGUCGCCUUACAGCUGCUGGCCCGCAGCGAGCGCUCGGGGCUGGGCAAGGCGCUGGUCCUGGUGCUGCACCGCAGCCCCACGCUGCUCGCCGAGCCACGGGUGGGGGAUCGGGGGGCUCCAACAGGCCCCCCCCAUCCCCAUCCAGCCGCGCAAGGUGCAGUGCAAGGUGCUGGUGCUGUGCAAGGAGCUGUGCAAGGUGUUGGCGCAAGGUGCAGUGCAAGGUGCUGGUGCUGUGCAAGGAGCUGUGCAAGGUGUUGGCGCAAGGUGCCGUGCAAAGGCCCUGUGCCAGGUAAGCUGCUGUGCAAGGUGCUGCGCGAGGUGCUGCCGCUGUGCAAGGUGUCGGUGCAAGGUGCUGUGCAAAGGCCGUGCCAUGCAAGGUGCUGCCACUGUGCAAGGUGCUCUGCCAAGUGCCGGUGCCGUGCAAGGUGCUGUGCAAGGGGUUGUGCAAACACCCUGCUACGGCAGGUGCCACGCAACAGCCCCGUUGUUCAGGGAGUUGUGCGAGGCGCUGUGCAAAGGCCCCGCUGUGCAAAACGCUGUGCAAGGUGCCGGUGCUGUGCAAGGUGCCAGGGCUGUGCAAGGUGUCAGGGCCGUGCAAGGUGUUGUGCAAGUGCCACGCAAAGGCCCUGCUGUGCAAGGUGCUCUGCAAGGUGCUCUGUGAAGUGCUCUGCAGUACGAGGCACUGUGCAAAGGCCCCGUUCAAGGCGUUGUGCGAGGUGUUGUGCAAAGGCCCUGCUGUGCAAGGUGUCUGCAAGAUGCCGGUGCUGUGCAAGGUGCUGUGCAAGAUGCCAUGCAAAGGCCCUGCUGCGCAAGGUGCUGUGCAAGAUGCCGGUGCUGUGCAAGGUGCCAUACAAGGCUCCGUGCAAAGGCCCUGCUGUGCAAGGUGCUGUGCAAGACGCCGGUGCUGUGCAAGGUGCCAUGCAAGGCUCCGUGCAAAGGCCCUGCCGUGCAAGGUGCUGUGCAAGGCGCUCUGCAAAGCGCCGCUGCAAUGCGAAGUGCCACGCAGAGGCCCUGCAGCGCGAUGCAUUGUGCAAGGUGCAGCCCGAGGAGUUGUGCAAGGAGUUGUGCAAGGCGCCACGCCACGCACGGUCAGGCUCCCUGCAAGCUGCGAGCAGCGGGGCACAGAGGGGCAGGGUCCGGGGGGGGGGGGGGGGGGGCCCC